GAUGAACGCUAGCGAUAGGCCUAACACAUGCAAGUCGAGGGGCAUCACAUGAGGCAGCAAUGCCGAUGGUGGCGACCGGCGCACGGGUGCGUAACGCGUAUGCAAUCUACCUUGUACAGGGGAAUAGCCCAGAGAAAUUUGGAUUAAUGCCCCAUGGUAUAUAGUUUUCGCAUGAUUACUAUAUUAAAGAUUUAUCGGUACAAGAUGAGCAUGCGUCCCAUUAGUUAGUUGGUGUGGUAACGGCACACCAAGACGAUGAUGGGUAGGGGUCCUGAGAGGGAGAUCCCCCACACUGGUACUGAGACACGGUCCAGACUCCUACGGGAGGCAGCAGUGGGGAAUAUUGCACAAUGGGCGAAAGCCUGAUGCAGCAACGCCGCGUGAGCGAUGAAGGCCUUCGGUCGUAAGCUCUGUCCUAUGGAAGAUAAUGACGGUA
rnacentral:rRNA from 1 species